AAGUGAUUGAGUAUUUACCAAUGAUGAAGACAAUAUCGCAGUUAUCCCUGACUUAGUAUAAAAUGCUGAGAUGUACGUCAGACUGAGAAAUACUCUAGUUUGUAGUUGCUUGUAUGAUAAAGAAUAUUGCCAACAUUUAAUUAUUUUUUAUUUGUUUACUUGUUAGGAUGUCCAGUAUUUGGAAUAAACUCGUUCAAUGGUACGGGGAGAUUCAUAAUUUGGUCAUUUAAAAAAUUGUCAGAAUGAUGAUGUUUACCCAUAUAUUCGCAGUUUCCACCAAAGUGAUGCUUUGUCAUUUCGAUGAUGGUUAAUCUUCCUUGGAUGUCUGACUGACAAUAAUUUUACUGUGAAAUUACUGUAUGUCAAAACAUAUCUUCUCAUCACUUCAUACCAAUAACCAAUUCUUUGUUUCUUUACAGGAAUGAAACAUAAGUCUACUUCACUUGUGUGAUUUGUCCCUGGUACUGGCUGGAUGUUGUGCUUCAAAAACAUGAUAUCCUUGCUUAAAUGGGUAGGUGUCCGAACAAUGUCGCUCUUUGCAAAAACCCUUGAAGAUUGUUGUCAGAAUGAUGAUGUUUACCCAUAUAUUCGCAGUUUCCACCAAAGUGAUGCUCUGUCAUUUCGAUGAUGGUCAAUCUUCCUUGGAUGUCUGACUGACAACAAACGACCAUUUGAUAAUUUGCCAUUUAGUAAUUUUGACAAGUUGUUGGGUUUCACAUUUGCAAAAAUAUCUUAAUUUUGCAGGUCCUAUGAAGUGUCACAGUUGGUCUCUUUGAUAAAAGGUAAAGCAACAAAAGUCCAUGAAAACGGUUCUUAUUUUAAUAUUUAGUGAAGCAAAUGAUGACUUACUUUUUUCCCCAACUUAUCGACCAUGGUGAUAUUAUGCUGUCUUUAAGCCAGAACUUACUGAUGCUCCACUUCCAUAUUUACAUUUUCUUGUACAUCUGAAGUCUUGUCUUGUGUCAUUUAACUGAAUUGCUUGUUGUCUUUUUAUAGAUGGUUAGGCAAUGCUGUGCAAUUAGUAAAAGGUGAUUGACCUUGUGCUUCAUAAUUAUGUUCACUUUUAUUUUGCUUUAACACUUCAAGCGGCAAUGUGCCCUGAUGCAGCUGACUCGACUAUUCUAGUGCUGGUGCCCAAUGUGUUAAAACAUUGAAUUGGAUAUUGUACAUUGGUUAUUAAUAGUACCCUGGAACAAUUGAUGACUAAUUUUUUCCCCAGCUUAUCGACAAUGCUGUUAUUAUAUAGCCAGAACUUGCUGAUGUUCCACUUAUUUCAGGUUAAUAAACAAACCAAGUCUAUUUGCAUAAUUUACUGAUAUAUGAUCUUUAUGUUAAUUGCAGAUCUGCGCAAGGAUAAGAAUUGUAUGUUGGUUAAUACUGUGCGAAUUCUUGUUUGGUGUCUGUAGUCUGGUUAGACAUAUCCAGCCUUUGUGAGUAGAUAAUAACUGGAAAAAAGUAUACAUUAGAUUGUCAGGUCUACCAACAAAUGAUGACAAACCUAAUGCCCCCAUCAUAUUAUACUGUGAUGAUUCCUUAACAGGAUAUAACUUCUGACAUCUGAUGUUGUUGGGCCAUUGCUUGUAACAUACAAGUUCUACUUCUGAAUUACAAAGAUUGUCUGCUAAAAUGAUUGCUUUGUUUCAAGGUGCUGUUAUUGCCAUGGUCCCCACAAGAGGUGUUCGAACUUCUACCAUUCUGGAUAAAUCUACUAUAGUACUAUACACAAAACGGAGUUGCACAACUUGCAAUUUAAUCUUAUCAUAUUCAUGUUGGUCUUCACAUGGGACUCGUUGACCAUACCCUUAAUCAUUGUUACAUAUUUAAUAGGACUUCUGUAAAGCUAACAAAUAAAAAUAAUAAAAUCCUGUUUUGAAAUGUGUGUUCUGUGAUAAAACUUUACUGAUCAAACUGUCAGCAUAGAUAUAUUUGUAAUAAUAAA